rfam:Felis catus isolate Cinnamon breed Abyssinian chromosome A2, whole genome shotgun sequence.
GCCUGGGUGGCUCAGUCGGUUGGGCGUCUGACUUCGGCUCAGGUCAUGGUCUCGCAGUCUGUGAGUUCGAGCCUCGCGUCGGGCU